rnacentral:rRNA from 1 species
UAGGGAAUCUUCCGCAAUGGGCGAAAGCUUGACGGAGCAACGCCGCGUGAGUGAUGAAGGUCUUCGGAUCGUAAAACUCUGUUAUUAGGGAAGAACAAAUGUGUAAGUAACUAUGCACGUCUUGACGGUACCUAAUCAGAAAGCCACGGCUAACUACGUGCCAGCAGCCGCGGUAAUACGUAGGUGGCAAGCGUUAUCCGGAAUUAUUGGGCGUAAAGCGCGCGUAGGCGGUUUUUUAAGUCUGAUGUGAAAGCCCACGGCUCAACCGUGGAGGGUCCUUGGAAACUGGAAAACUUGAGUGCAGAAGAGGAAAGUGGAAUUCCAUGUGUAGCGGUGAAAUGCGCAGAGAUAUGGAGGAACACCAGUGGCGAAGGCGACUUUCUGGUCUGUAACUGACGCUGAUGUGCGAAAGCGUGGGGAUCAAACAGG